rnacentral:sRNA from 1 species
UGGCAGCUCACAGCUAUUGUGGUGGGAAAAGGAGGGUGGUUGGUGGAUGUCACAGCUUGGGCUUUAUCUCCCCCAGCAGUGGGGAGUCCACAGCCCCUGGGCUACAUAACGGCAAGACAGUCCGGAGCUGUAGCAGACCUGAUUGAGCCUUUGCAGCAGCUGGGAGCAUGGCCUAGGGUGGGCGGCACCAUUGUCCAGUGGCUGAGUUUCCCGGGGACCUUGGAGAUACCCGCAGCCCUCAUUUGCAGGGGAAGAUGAUUCCUGCCAGAUUUGCUGGGGUGCUGCUUGCUCUGGCCCUCAUUUUGCCAGGUAAGUACAAAAGGGCCUCCAUUUCUCAUUCCUGCCCCAGAGCCAUCUGCAGUGACCCCUUUCCAGGAAUCGGCAGGUGUGGCUGGAGCUCACCUGUGUGCCCAGCCCCAAUUUAGGCUGUUGGUUGCCUCCUGUGAAGGUUCUGCGGAGUUCCCACCCUUGACUUGUAUUCCAGAGACCAGGUGCCUGCAAAUGCCCUCUCCUAUUGGGGAAUUAAGCAUAAAGGUGGCACAGAACUGUCCUAUAUUAUGGAGGCACAGGAUGAGGAGGAAGGAAUCCAAGACUUGGAUGGAUUAUUAGUUUUAGAUGAGAUUGUGGAGGUCACCUAGUUGAACCUCCCAUGGUACAAUGAAGAGACUGAGGGUCAGAGAGGAGAAGUGACUGCUCCAAAGUCUCCUAGAGCCAAAAUCAGAGGUCAGUCUUCCUGGGUCCC